GGGGCUGAUUCUGGAUUCGACGGGAUUUGCGAAACCCAAGGUGCAUGCCGAGGGGCGGUUGGCCUCGUAAAAAGCCGCAAAAAAUAGUCGCAAACGACGAAAACUACGCUUUAGCAGCUUAAUAACCUGCUUAGAGCCCUCUCUCCCUAGCCUCCGCUCUUAGGACGGGGAUCAAGAGAGGUCAAACCCAAAAGAGAUCGCGUGGAAGCCCUGCCUGGGGUUGAAGCGUUAAAACUUAAUCAGGCUAGUUUGUUAGUGGCGUGUCCGUCCGCAGCUGGCAAGCGAAUGUAAAGACUGACUAAGCAUGUAGUACCGAGGAUGUAGGAAUUUCGGACAUGGGUUCAACUCCCGCCAGCUCCACCA
rnacentral:tmRNA from 1 species